rnacentral:rRNA from 1 species
AGUGAACGCUGGCGGUAGGCCUAACACAUGCAAGUCGAACGGCAGCACAGUAAGAGCUUGCUCUUACGGGUGGCGAGUGGCGGACGGGUGAGGAAUACAUCGGAAUCUACUUUUUCGUGGGGGAUAACGUAGGGAAACUUACGCUAAUACCGCAUACGACCUACGGGUGAAAGCAGGGGAUCUUCGGACCUUGCGCGAUUGAAUGAGCCGAUGUCGGAUUAGCUAGUUGGCGGGGUAAAGGCCCACCAAGGCGACGAUCCGUAGCUGGUCUGAGAGGAUGAUCAGCAACACUGGAACUGAGACAAGGUCCAGACUCCUAAGGGAGGCAGCAGUGGGGAAUAUUGGACAAAGGGCGCAAGCCUGAUCCAGCCAUACCGCGUGGGUGAAGAAGGCCUUCGGGUUGUAAAGCCCUUUUGUUGGGAAAGAAAAGCAGCAGGUUAAUACCCCGAUGUUCUGACGGUACCCAAAGAAUAAGCACCGGCUAACUUCGUG